rnacentral:lncRNA from 1 species
GUAAGAAUAUAGAAAACUUGAACAUUAUCAACCAACUUGAACGAACUGACAUGUAUAGGACACUCCACCAAUAGCACUUUCCAAGCACUCAGGAAACAUUCACCAAGAUAGGUCGUAUGUUGGGCCAUAAAACAAGUUUCAGUAAUUUCAAAAGAUUUAAACUAUAGAAAGCAUGCACUGAUAAAAAUAGAAUUAAACUAAAAAUUAUAGAAACCUAUGUGGGAAAACCCCAAAUAUUUGGAAACUAAACACGUUUCAAAACAUGGUAUGAUUUAGCCUUUAAAAUGAUCUCUCAUACUGCUAAGUGGAAAAUAAAUGAGAAAGACAAGGGCAAAUGCAGGGAAACCCUUUAAGAGGCAUUUACAGUUGAGUGUCAUGGACUAGAGUGGUAGUGGUGGUGGCAAUGAGAAGGAGUCAACUGUGAAAGGCAAGUUAAGAUUUGCUCAUAAACUGAAUGUUGGGAUGAAAAAGUGGAUGACACCAAGAUUUUCAGCUUGAAUGAAACUAUUGAAGGCUAGGAGUUGAUAUUUAUUAAGAUGGGUGCGCUAGUAAAAGGAUUUGAGGGGAAAGAUUAGGGGUUUUGAACUUGUAAAAAUUGAGAUGCUGUAGACACACAGACACAUCCAAGAAGAAAAGUCAAAUAGAUAGUUGAAAUCCAGUGUUCCCAGGGUAUGUGGGCUAAAUAUAUUUUGGGCUUCUAUCAGCAUAUAGAUACUAGACUAACUGAGAUCAGGAGUCACUGCAGAUAGAGCAGGGGUCCAGAAUUGAACAUUGGGACAUUCCAAAUUUAGAGGUUGGAAGAAUGAGGAAGGACCAGUGGACAUGAAGAGCAGCAAGGCAGAAGUGAGAUACUGAAAGAUGGGAAGUUCAUAAGGAAGAAAGUGAGCAAUUCAUCAAAUUCUAACAUGGGAUUGAAAAUUGAUCACAGGAAGUGGUUGCAUGAGGCUGGAGUAAAGGGAGUUGCGGACAAGGCAGCAUGGUGACCAGCAGAGUGAGGAAAGGAGAUGAAAUAGAGAAAUAAAGUAAGUAUACUUAAUGGGCACCCUGGCCCCA